CUUCAGGGAAGGAUAAAUUAUUGUGUUCAAAUAACAACUUCAACAGAGUAAAUGGGAGUCCUCACCCAGGGUGAAGGGCUAAUGAUCUUAAUUUAUAGCCUAAACUGAUAUAUUUCCAGAGUCACUGUGUGGCACACAUACAUCAAAUGCUACAGUGAGAUCUGACAGAAGUUUUUCAUCAUUAUUUUUUUAGUGAUUCUCAUUGAGUAGACAUAAAUAAAUAAAUAAAUAAAUAAAUAAUGAAUUAAUAAUUCAAUUAGUCUGCACUGUUGCUGAACUUCUACUGUAGUUUGCAUUGCAAUUGUUCUUUCAGAUUUGUAACAGAAUGCACUUUUUCAAACAUUUACCAUUGGUCACAUUUCGUUCAUUUUGUUUUAUGUCAAUAUUUCACGGUUCUCUAUGUAAAAAUAUUGGCUUUUGAUUGGGCUCAGCAGGCAUUCCUGUGACCAGUCUGACCAGCUGUCUUCCUUCUCUUGUGUUCACAGAUCAGACUUAUCUCACAGAAACAAAUGCUGCCAGGUGGUUUGUAUUAAUAAUGCACUGAAAGCUGCAUCCACAUCUGAUGUUUCUAUCCAUUCUUGCGGAAAAGGUUUAUUGUAAACCUUGAAUGUUCUUUUAUUUCCUCCUGUUGGAUUGGUCUUGAGGGCUUUUGAGGUACUUGAAGACUUACAGGCUAUCUCAUCUCAUCCACAAAGUGGAGGUCAGCGGUUCUAAAGAUGCUUUGUUGCUCUCUAAAUUUCACUACCCCUUUCAACACCUGAGUCACUGAGUCAACCAUAUCCAAACUACUCUACUGGACUCCUCAGUACCUCUGCACCAAUCCUACAUCCUUCCAUCUGGGACCAAGAGCAAGAGUAUACAUGGGUACAAGGCUGAACAGCAGCAUACGGCCAGCAAAGCCUUGAACAAACACAGCGUGGGAUGUGAACAACCUUCACUGCAAGAACAUGACGCAGAUAAACAGUGUCUCCCUGCAGUCCAAACAGAAGUUCUGAAUGCGAUCACUGACAAGAAGAACAGAAGUAAUUAA
rnacentral:lncRNA from 1 species